ensembl:misc_RNA 7SK 7SK RNA
GGAUGUGAGGGAUAUCUGACUGUGACAUCUGUCACCCUACUGAUUGCCAUGGUUGAGUCAACUGAUCUGGCUUGCAAGGCUCUUCCUCUUUCAGUGCUCUAUCUGCUUCUCUCUGGUAGCUGCAUAUUUGGUCUAAGAGAUCUUCCCUGGACAGAGAUGUAUUGUUCUUUGGUCGAGGGUAUACAAGUAGCUGUAUUCCUCUGCUAGAAUGCCUAAAUAAGCUCUCAAGAAUAAUUAAACACAGCAUGAUAAUGUCCUUUAAUGAAAUGG